UUAUGCUGAUAAGAGCGUAUGGUGGAUGCCUUGGCACUAAGAGCCGAUGAAAGACGUGAUAAGCUGCGAAAAGCUUCGGGGAGGAGCAAAUAUCCAUUGAUCCGGAGAUUUCUGAAUGGGGAAACCUACUUGAGCAAACCUCAAGUAUCCUAACGCCAAUCCAUAACGUUAGGAAGGGAACCCGGUGAACUGAAACAUCUAAGUAGCCGGAGGAAGAGAAAACAACAUGUGAUUCUGUGAGUAGCGGCGAGCGAAAGCGGAAGAGCCCAAACCGGAGUGCGUGCACUCCGGGGUUCGGACCGCAGAAUUGAUUCAAUAAGUCUAGCAGAAUGGUUUUGGGAAAGCCAGCCAGAGAGGGUGAAAGCCCCGUAAGCGAAAGACGAGUUGACAUGGCGGUAUCCAGAGUACCACGAGACACGAGAAACCUUGUGGGAAUGAGCGGGGACCACCCCGUAAGGCUAAAUACUUCUUAGUGACCGAUAGCGCAUAGUACUGUGAAGGAAAGGUGAAAAGGACCCCGGGAGGGGAGUGAAAGAGAACCUGAAACCAUAUGUUUACAAGCUGUGGAACAUCUUUAUAUGAUGAACCGCGUACUUUUUGUAGAACGGUCCGGCGAGUUACGCUGGCUGGCGAGGUUAAGCACUUCAAGGUGUGGAGCCGAAGGGAAACCAAGUCUGAAUAGGGCGUGAAGUCAGUCAGAGUAGACCCGAAACCGGGUGAUCUAUCCAUGUCCAGGUUGAAGUUGCCGUAAAAGGCAAUGGAGGACCGAACCCACAUCCGUUGAAAAGGGUGGGGAUGAGGUGUGGAUAGGGGAGAAAUUCCAAUCGAACCCGGAGAUAGCUGGUUCUCCUCGAAAUAGCUUUAGGGCUAGCCUCAUACGAGUCUUGCGGAGGUAGAGCACUGAAUUCUUAAGGGGGCGUCAAAGCUUACUAAGAGAUAUCAAACUCCGAAUGCCGCGUAGAUGAUGUAUGGGAGUCAGACUGCACGAGAUAAGUUGGGUAGUCAAAAGGGAAAGAGCCCAGACCUACAGCUAAGGUCCCAAAAUGUGUGUUAAGUGGAAAAGGAUGUGGGAUUUCGAAGACAACUAGGAUGUUGGCUCAGAAGCAGCCAUCCAUUAAAAGAGUGCGUAAUAGCUCACUAGUCGAGAGGUCCUGCGCCGAAAAUGUCCGGGGCUGAAACACACUACCGAAGCUUAGGAAUUAACGAAUGUUAAUUGGUAGAGGAGCAUUCUUAAAGAGACGAAGCUGUACCGAAAGGAGCAGUGGAUUUUUAAGAAGAGAGAAUGCCGGAAUGAGUAGCGAGAGGAAGGUGAGAAUCCUUCCGGCCGAAUAUCUAAGGUUUCCAGCGUAAAGCUGAUCUGCGCUGGGUAAGUCGGGGCCUAAGGCGAGGUCGAAAGACGUAGUCGAUGGAUAACAGGUUGAAAUUCCUGUACUAUGAUAUAACAGAACUGUGGGGACGCAGGGAGAGAGCGCGAGCCGGGAACGGAAAGCCCGGCGCAAGCGAGGUACCGGUCUGUCAGGAAAAUCCGGCAGACAACGGGAAGACGUGAUGCGGACCGAAAAAGAGUAGGGAAGAGCGUGAGCUAACUGCCAAGAAAAGCCGCUAUUGUUUAUAUCAUACCCGUACCGUAAACCGACACAGGUGGAUGAGGAGAGAAUCCUAAGGCCGACGGGAGAAGCAUUGUUAAGGAACUCGGCAAAAUGACUCCGUAACUUCGGGAGAAGGAGUGCCAUGCGAAUGGCCGCAGAGAAUUGGCCCAAGCAACUGUUUAGCAAAAACACAGGUCUAUGCAAAACCGAAAGGUGAGGUAUAUGGGCUGACGCCUGCCCGGUGCUGGAAGGUUAAGGGGAGAGGUUAGCGCAAGCGAAGCUUUGAACUUAAGCCCCAGUAAACGGCGGCCGUAACUAUAACGGUCCUAAGGUAGCGAAAUUCCUUGUCGGGUAAGUUCCGACCCGCACGAAAGGCGUAAUGAUUUGGGCACUGUCUCAACAAUGCACCCGGUGAAAUUGAAAUACCAGUGAAGAUGCUGGUUACCUGCGCCAGGACGGAAAGACCCCAUGGAGCUUUACUCCAGCUUGAUACUGGGAUUCGAUAUUGCAUGUACAGGAUAGGUGGGAGACUAGGAGACGGUAACGCCAGUUGCCGUGGAGUCGAUGUUGGGAUACCACCCUUGCAGUAUUGGGUUUCUAACCAGCAGCCGUGAUCCGGCUGGGGGACAAUGUCAGGUGGGGAGUUUGACUGGGGCGGUCGCCUCCGAAAGGGUAUCGGAGGCGCUCAAAGGUUCCCUCAGAAUGGUUGGAAACCAUUCGAAGAGUGCAAAGGCAGAAGGGAGCUUGACUGCGACACCGACGGGUGGAGCAGGUACGAAAGUAGGACUUAGUGAUCCGGUGGUAUAAAGUGGGAUUGCCAUCGCUCAACGGAUAAAAGCUACCCUGGGGAUAACAGGCUUAUCACUCCCAAGAGUUCACAUCGACGGAGUGGUUUGGCACCUCGAUGUCGGCUCAUCGCAUCCUGGGGCUGAAGUAGGUCCCAAGGGUUGGGCUGUUCGCCCAUUAAAGC
rnacentral:rRNA from 1 species